AGGGAAAACCCCGCCUGGAGCAAGAUCAAAUAGGCAUGCGAUACCGUGGUCCGCGGUGCAUGCGGGUAGAUUGCUGGAGCCUGCGCGUAAGUGCUGGCCUAGAGGAAUGGUCGUCCACGACAGAACCCGGCUUAUCGGCUCACUCCACUU
rnacentral:RNase_P_RNA from 1 species